AUUGAACGCUGGCGGCAGGCCUAACACAUGCAAGUCGGACGAGCGGCGGACGGGCGGGUAAUGGAUGGGGAUCUGCCUGACGGAGGGGGAUAACUAGUGGAACCGGUGGCUAAUACCGCAAACCAUCAGAUGCACCCUUAGUGGAUUAGCUUGUAGGUAAGGUAACGGCUUACCUAGGCGACGCGCCCUAGCUGGUCCGAGAGGAUGAUCGGCCACACUGGGACUGAGACACGGCCCAGACUCCUACGGGAGGCAGCAGUGGGGAAUAUUGCGCAAUGGGCGAAAGCCUGAUGCAGCCAUGCCGCGUGUAUGAAGAAGGCCUUCGGGUUGUAAAGUACUUUCAGUCGGGAGGCGUUACCGACAGAAGAAGCACCGGCUAACUCCGUGCCAGCAGCCGCGGUAAUUC
rnacentral:rRNA from 1 species